AGCACCAUAGCGCAGCUGGAAGCGCGUCGGUCUCAUACAUAGGAGAGAUCCGAAGGUCGCCUGAUCGAAACAAGCUGGUGCUA